GACUGGUCCAAUGGUAGUGGGCUAUCACAACUUAUUAACAUUAGUGUCACUAAAGUUGGUAUACAACCCCCCACUGCUAAAUUUGCCUGGCUUAA
rnacentral:Y_RNA from 1 species